UUUCCAGAUCACAAAGGCAUUGUGUACUGCACGUCCGUGUUGACACCGAAGAAUGAAGUACGAUCGGAAAAAGUGGUCAUGUUUUUUGAGUCACGCAUUGCGAGCUACUGCAAAGUGUUCAUCAGAGGUACCCUGUUGAAAGAAGGCACCGUGGAAACAGAGGCAGCAGCAGAAGAAGUGCU